rnacentral:lncRNA from 7 species
CUUAAAUAGAAAUGAAAUUUGUUAACUUCUGUGGAUGCACCCGAAAGAAUGCAUCCUGGAGUGACUGCGUUAAGGAUUCAGGUUUUUAUAGACCGUGCUCACCCACGUUCUCUAGAAAAUUGGAAGCUUUCAGUUGAAAAUCUGUUCUGCUUACCGGCUGAAUCAAAUGCCAGCGUGUUAGCAAUGGAAGCCCUGGCUGGAUGGCGUGCUGUCCUUCUGCUAAGCCAGGAUCUUCCCUGGGGCCAUCUGCCACAGCUGGGCCGGCAGGCCAGCUCUGUGCUGCAGAGCAAGGAAGCAGAAGCCAUUUCAGUGAUUUCUCUUAGGCCACUGAACCUCCAUAUGGUGGCAACAAUUUCUCGGUUACUACAGUCCUGUGCUGGAAUCAGAGCAGUGACCUGGAGAUGAAAGGCUCCGCAUCCCAAUCCAGGCCCCAAGUUAGCUGGUCUUGGCCCAUUUUAAUUUUCCUCUGCAAGCAACCACUUCUGCCUCUGGAAUUACUGACUGAAAGAGGCAGCAAAGAAAUGAUUCUGUUGCUCGUAUUUCCACUUGGGUUCAGCGAUCGGGAGCACAGCAGAAAUAUGUGGUGAACCGAAAGGCUCUUUCUGCUUUUCUAAAUUGUUCUGUGUGAUAUAAAUGUUACAAAAGUGCUGUGUAUUCCAAUUAAAUUUAAACAGUAACUCUAGCAGGGAGCAACUGCUGCGAGCUCGCAGGAUAAAUCAGCUUUCCUACUGAGCUCCAUACUAUAUUUAAAAUAAAUAAAUAAAAAAAUUCAGUAAUCA